CCCCUUUCGGGGUCACAUCUGGAGAGUUUCCAGCACUCUACCUGUCUCGAUUAAGGGAAGGAGAGUCAAGCAGAGGCAUAUCCAUUCCAUUCCUAGUUUGAGCAGUGGUUAGCGAGUGGAAGGCAUUCUGCUACAGGU